CGGGCGCUCUUGGGGGGUCCCGACGUAGCCGCGGGCGGAGAAGCGCUGCAGGACGGAGCUUAAUCUUGCAUUAAACAUUUGCAUUGAAACAACUCUUUUUGCUUCCAUUUCCUUCCACGUUGUCAAAAAUGGCAAAUUUUUUGGGCCUCCCUGGUGGUGAAGGUGUGAAAAUCUCAGCGCUAUCAAGCUAUCGCCAGUCACUGCAGCACGAGUUUGAUCCCCGGCCAGAGUUGACCCACCCAAGAAAAUGGACACAACUGAUUUCCACAAAAACACCCUCACAUCUGUUGGAAUGGAUCUUAUCUAAAAGACAAGAAAUAACUCCUUACUUUAAGGCUCAAGAGGGGCACUGCCUAACCCAGAACAGCCUCUGGUGAUAGCAGAGGGCCCAACAGGACUUGAAUCCACUUCAACCAUCAUCUGAGUCACCAGCUCUUCUGAAGCAGCAGUGAGGUUGUUGACUAUGGAAAAAAGUCUUAUAUCAAGUUGAGACCUUUCUCCUACCCUGCUCCUUGGACAUGAAGGCACCAUCCAAAUUCUUCCUAGAGCUACCUUAAGGCUUGGUGUGAGGGGACACGAGGCAUCCAGCAGAGACCAAUAAAGACAGCCCUCUUCCCAGCAACAUCUCAGACUAUGGGACAGAAUGAUUUCUCACCUGAUAGGACUCCACAUUCUUCAGUGGACAAGAUGGGAAGUCAAAUGGAGGUUGAUAACCUCAAGGCAGAGAGGCCUGAAUUUCCAAAGCUGAACCUGGAAAGAAACAUCUAGGGCAAAACAGUUGACUUGAUGGCUCACUGGCUCCCAGAUAUCAAUCUAUCCUGGAACCGAAAGGCAGUUCUCCACUUGGGAAGACAAUGGAGUACUUUGGAACAAGUCUCGUUAUAUAGGGUUUCUUCCAUGGAAUGUGGUUAAGUUUCAAAAAUAUGUGCAUAAUAAAGUUGUUAUGAAGGAGACAUCACAAGAAGAAAUACCAGAGAGGUCAAGGAUAAUUAGGAAAGUCCAAAAGAGGACUCUACAGUAUUCUGGAGUAUAGGCUUUUGCAUCAUAAGACAUAGGUUCAAAAAGGGAAUCUACCAGUUGGCCAUUCUUAGCCAACUUCUUUUUUUAAAAGAUUUAUUUAUUUAUUUGUUUGUUUAUGCAUACAAGAGCUGAGGUAUAGGCCCGAGGUGUGGGGGGUGAGAGAAUCCAUCAGAGACAGAAUGGGGAGCAAAACAGGCAGAUGUACUGAAAUGCACUGCUGAGGGGAGCAGUGGGCGAGACAGGAGAGGUCUGCUGAGCCAUAUGGGUUAACUCCCUGGCCAGGGAUCAAACUCAUGCUGACAGCUUGGUAGUGCUGAGACUUAACCCUUUGUGCCACCAAGGAGGCCCUCUUAGCCAACUUCUAAAGUUGGUUUGAUAACCUAUCUUUGAAAUGUAAUAAAAGCAAUACUAACACUAGUGAUGGUGUGAUUAGUACAUCAAUUGAAAGCAAUUAGAACAGUUCUAGUUUUGGCUAUUUCUAAAAUGAGCUGACUUUAGAAGAAUAUGGUGAUUUUCAAAGGUCAUUUCUAUAUGGUUGAUUGCAUCGGCCUUGUUUGAAAAUCAGAUGUGUAGACAUGGUCACAUCCAAGUGAUGUGACUAGAGAGGCACCUUAGUUGACCCUGACAUAGGCAUUCUGUAAACUCUUCUGCCUCCCUCACAACUGUGCUGAUCCAGCAUUUAAACAUAAAAAAUUCUUAAUAAGAGUUCUUGAUGUGGCCUCCCUGGUGGCGCAAGGGGUUAAGCACAGCACUGUGAAGCUAUCCGCAGCUUCUGCAGCACUUAGAUCCACGACCAACCAGGGGGGUGACCCACAUGGCGUGGCAGACCUCUCCUGUCUCACCCUCUGCUCCCCUCAGCAGUGUACUUCAGUCAAUCAGCCUGGUCUGCUCCCCACUCUGUCUCUGGUGAAUCCUCUCACCCCCCCACACCUCUGGCGUAGACCCCAGUUCUUGUAUGUAAAAGAGGUUUUUUUUUUUUAAGAUUUAUUUUAUUUAUUCAUACAAGCACUGAGUACAGUCAGAAGCACGGGAGGGUGAGUGAAUUCACCAGAGCCAUAGUGGGGAACAGAACAGGCAGAAUGACGAAGUACACUGCUGAGGGGAGCAGCGGGUGGCAUGAGAGGUCUGCGCACCAUGUGGAAUCCUUGCCUGGCAGCCAGGGAUUGAACCAGCACUGCAGAGGCUGCGGGCAGCUUCGCAACCCAGUGCUCAACCACUGCGCCACAGGGGAGGCCCUGUAAAAGAGUUCUUGAUCUUCAUAGGAGUAGUCACCAUGGGGCACUGAAAAAAAUCUCAUUUUUGUAUCUCACUGAAAUAUCAUUGAUACAGAUCAUGAGAUAGACUCUACAGAGCAGGGCCUCCCUGGUGGUAUAGGGGUUAAGUCUCAGCACUAUCAUGCAGUCACCGCUGUAGCCUGAGUUCGAUUCCCCGCCAGGGAGCUAACCUAAAUAUGGUAGCGCAAAAGACCUCGCCUGUCUAGCCAGCUGCUCCCCUCAGUAGUGUAUCUCAGUAAACCUGCCUGUUCUGCUCCCCACUCUUUCUCAAGUGAACCCUCUCACCCACCCCCCCAUACCUCUGGCCUACAUCCCAGUUGUUCUAUGCAUAAAUAAAAAAAUUCUACAGAGCAGAGAUUCUGGGGCCCAAGGGAUAUGAAAAAAGAAGGGAUAUUAGAAUUUGUUUCCUAAGCAUUAAAAGUGAGUUAAUACACACCUGGAAGAGUGUCUAUAACUUACUAAAUGCAGGGUUGAUGUUCACUAUUGUUAUCAAAAACCAUUAUAAAAAAGGUUAUUGCAUAAAAUGGACUGCUGUAUGGAAUAGAGCAAAUAAGAGAUGACCAACAGGCAUUUAAAUAAGGAAUAGCUGUACUUGGUAGAACAGUACUGGAAAAAAUAGUUUUAAAAGGGUAAAAUCACCUUGUAACAAUUAAAAGUGUAUCAUUUAGUGAAAGCACUAAACAGAGCCAUCUUACCAUCAGGCUAAAAAAGGAAAGCAACAAGUGGUGAGUGACAGCAGAGCACAGGAUGAAUGCUUGUCAAAGGGGAGUGUGAAUUAGUGUGGAGAUCUGUGAGGCUAUAUUAUGAACAAUAUCUGUUUCUUAAAUGUGGGUCUAAUUACUUUAUUCUUGUCUUUGGCCAUAAGAAGUUGCUAAUUAUGAGAUACAAAACAAGAAAAAAAAAAACAAGUUCAGAAAUAUCCAGGGAGAUACACUGAUACAUUGUAUUGCUCAUAUUUAAGUUUUGUUGAAAAACAAAAAACUAAAAAUAAUCCUAAUGUUUGAAAAAAGAGGUAAAUAUUGCAAAAAGAAAAGCAUGGUCCAAAUGAGAGAUUUAUAUGCAUCCAUAUUUGUUGCAUUGGCAACACCAAACUGAUAAAAAAAAAACCAGGAGUCAUGGAGCAGGCUACACAAUGCAGGAUGCUGCUGAACAAGCAAGAUUCUGACUUUUUUAUUGAUAGAAUAUCAUACAGCAUCAAGUAUGUAGGGUAGGAGAAAAGAGAGAAAAAGAGUGGUGAAACUGAACAUGUGCUUCUCUCUUCUAGGGCUUUAAGAGGACAUGAGUCUGCUGACCAGGUAUUUUAUCUGCUUGAUGACCCGGUGUUAUAAUUGAAACCAUACCCCAGGCCCCAAGCCAUGGUUCUAAACUUAUCAACAAGGCAUUCCACUGAUCAGUCUCUGGGGCACAUGGUUACACAUCAGUCAACACGCCCUCCACCCUCGAGUUCCUGGUGAUACUUACUGAUAUAUGCCCAUUACCCCAGGGUGAUCAAGCAUCCUGCUCUCACUUACUUUGAAAGGAGCCUUGUGGGGUCUGGUAUAUUACAUUCUUUUAGGUCAUAUAACUGACUAAGCUGUUCUGAUCUUGUAUUGGAGGGCAGACUGCACUUAAACAAAAUGGUGGCCAAGCAGGCUGUUUAAGUCUAGACUCCCACAUAUUUAAAGGUAGGAAAAUGUUUCUGUUAAGAGCCAUCUAAAAAUGUUAUUAAUGUAAUCAUACUAGAGAGAAAUGUACCAAAAAUCUGAGUGAUUCUGCAUAUUUUUAAAAUUUUGCUGUUUUUAUUUCAAAAAUUGUUUAGAAUGAAUACCUAUGCUUGUAUAAUUUUUUUAAUACACUGUAUUAUGGGGGCAAGAAAACAAUUCUUUG